AGGUGUGAUAUUAAUUUACAUUCAACUUAAUUCGGCAAACAUGUAUUGCUAGAUUCAAGGCACUGUGAUAAAGGCCAUGGGAAGGACAAGACUGACUGACAUAGGGCCCUUAUAUUCUACUGGAAUAGAAGUCACAUUACAACUGUAACAAGGGUAGAAAGAAACAAAAGUGAGAAAUGCACUAUAAACACAAAGCCUGCUGGAAGAUUAAGGCUGACUGCUGUCUCAGAAGCAGCUUGGAACCUAGCAGGCUAUGAAGAGCCAUGUGUUCCUGAAGCAGAGGAAGGCAUUGCGGGCAUAUUGGUAAGGGAAGAGAGAAUGCAUGAGAAAAUGAUACUUACACUAAGUUUUGAGAACAGUAAUAAUUCCAGUGGCCGGGGCCUGAGGUUUAGGGAUAGAGUUAACUGCUGAGUAUUAACCCUAGCAGAUACUAAAAAUGGCCACUCCAAACACCAUCCCCCAACCCCCACCACCUGCUUUCUUUCUUGCUUGCUGGAAGAACCCUGAUUUCAAGAUGGAAUACUUAUCUGAACAAGUCAAAUACUAUAAUUCUAUCUCCUUGUCUGUGACUGGUAGGCAUGGGCAUGUGAUACAGUUCUGGUCAGUGAGUUACAAGGUGGCUCACGGGCAGGUUUUCCUGCAGAGGAAGGGAUGCAUUUUUUUAUGCAUGGUUGUGGGAGAGAGGAUGUGAUGUCUGAGCUGCAGCAGCCACCUGGAGUUCAAGAGGAAGCAAACCUGAGGACAAAAUCCACUAUACUGAGGAUGAAAGAGCAGAACAGUGGAAACCACCUGGGUGCUUAUGCUGUGCUGAAUAAACCAGUCCUGGAUCAUGAGACUUCUGGGUUUCUUGUUAAAUAUUCAGAAUCAACUGAGAGAAAUCAACCAAAGACACCCAACCUGGAUCUGGAAUGAGCAAAUGACUGACCAUGCAGAUAACUGGUUUUGACUUUUAUCCAUCUACGACUCCAGUCAUCCACCUAUCAUCCGGAUCCACAGAUGGAUGACGACACUACAGUCUCCUGGGAGAUCAGCCAGGCAGCACGGAAGCAAAUGGAGCACAAGAAUGUAAACUAGUACGGCCAGAAUCUGCAGAGCCACCAAAAAGUACUUACACUUGUACAGCAGAGAGUCUCCAUGCAGCAAAAAGAAAGGAAAAAAAAAUUUUUGAAUGGAAGAGAAAUAAAGCAACAGCAUUACAAGAAAUGGGGAGGGAGAGGCACCAUACACAAAUAAACAGAAAAGCUACAUAAAAAGCCUUCAUAGCAAAGGAAUGAGGCAAGAAUGAGGCCAAACUAUUAUUAGCUUAAGGCAUCCAACCUAGCUUUUCUUAAGCAGAAGCACAAUUACAGCUUGAAAACUGCAGAAACUCUUAGAGAUAUUACCUCUUCUGCUAAGUGCGUGCAAAAUGCCAUCUACCAACCCCGUAAGGUAUUAAUCCCACUUGGGAGAUGGAGAUGUCAUCAGCUCCAAAGGCACAUGGUAGACAGAACACUGGAUGGACAUUAGCAAACACCAUGCAGGUGUUGGUUCUUGGGCCACAGGGCUAGUCCCAGCAACUAAGUGGGGACAACAUGUCUUCGGGCACAUGUAAGCGUCCCUUCUGGGGGUCUUUACAUCAUUCUGUCCUCCCCCACUGUAGCAGCAGCUUUGAGUUCUCUCUCCCCCUCAGUCAUCAGAGCAUUUCAGGCAAGGAUCUGAUACCAGGACCUAGCACAGUUACCUACCUAUAGUGUCAUUAACAUUGAUAGUACCUUGUACCUUAGUGGGAAUUUAGGUCACCUUACAUUUCACACUAAAUCUCUAAUGAAAGAAUUUUUAAAACCUCA